rnacentral:rRNA from 1 species
UGGGGAAUUUUGGACAAUGGGCGAAAGCCUGAUCCAGCAAUGCCGCGUGUGUGAAGAAGGCCUUCGGGUUGUAAAGCACUUUUGUCCGGAAAGAAAUCCUCUGGGUUAAUACCUCGGGGGGAUGACGGUACCGGAAGAAUAAGCACCGGCUAACUACGUGCCAGCAGCCGCGGUAAUACGUAGGGUGCAAGCGUUAAUCGGAAUUACUGGGCGUAAAGCGUGCGCAGGCGGUUUUGUAAGACGGAUGUGAAAUCCCCGGGCUUAACCUGGGAACUGCAUUCGUGACUGCAAGGCUAGAGUAUGGCAGAGGGGGGUAGAAUUCCACGUGUAGCAGUGAAAUGCGUAGAGAUGUGGAGGAAUACCGAUGGCGAAGGCAGCCCCCUGGGCCAAAUACUGACGCUCAUGCACGAAAGCGUGGGGGAGCAAACAGGAUUCAGAUAACCCUGGUAGUCCACGCCCUAAACGAUGUCAACUAGUUGUUGGGGAUUCAUUUCCUUAGUAACGUAGCUAACGCGUGAAGUUGACCGCCUGGGGAGUACGGUCGCAAGAUUAAAACUCAAAGGAAUUGACGGGGUCAUAGCUGAUUUCC